AUGCUCCCGAGGCUCGUUGCCGUGGCGGCGCUGGUCGCGCUGAUGUGCGCCGUCGCUGUGGCCCAGAAGGUACCUGCCGUCGGCGGUGCGCCGGUGUGCAACCUUGUCGAUCAGAACGUCGUGAAUGCUUGCUUCGAGAGCUGUGGAAGAGGUAUGAAAAUUGCCACUGCCGACAGGAUUACUUCAGCGGGUAAAGUCAAGGUUCAAGUGGACUGCUGCGUAGCCUUUGGAGGCCACUCGUGCAUGUGCCAGAUGAAGAAGGCGUGGAAGGCUCAGGGCAAAAGUGCCCAGAAUAAUGUGGGGUGCGUCAGGGAAAAGGCCUGCUAG
rnacentral:rRNA from 1 species